ACCCUCUCAGGGUCGCACCUGGAGAGUCCCCAGUCCUCUACCAGUCUCGACUAUGGGAGGGAGAGUCAAGCAGAGUACUGUCCAUGCCAUUCCUGGCUUGGGCAAUGGCUAACGAGUGGCAGGCCAUCUGCUACAAGU